UCGCUCCUACCGAUUUCGAGUGGUCCGGUGAAUCCUUUGGACCGGGAAGCCUUUAUGGUUCUUCUGGAAAAUCGUGUAAACCAAAUCACUUAGAGGAAGGAG
rnacentral:rRNA from 1 species